AUUGAACGCUGGCGGCAUGCCUUACACAUGCAAGUCGAACGGCAGCACGGGUGCUUGCACCUGGUGGCGAGUGGCGAACGGGGGAGUAAUACAUCGGAACAUGUCCUGUAGUGGGGGAUAGCCCGGCGAAAGCCGGAUUAAUACCGCAUACGAUCUACGGAUGAAAGCGGGGGCCCUUCGGGCCUCGCGCUAUAGGGUUGGCCGAUGGCUGAUUAGCUAGUUGGUGGGGUAAAGGCCUACCAAGGCGACGACCAGUAGCGGGUCUGAGAGGAGGACCAGCCACAUGGUGACUGAGACACGGCCCAGACUCCUACGGGAGGAAGCAGUGGGGAAUCUUGGACAAUGGGCGAAAGCGUGAUCCAGCAAUGCGGCGGGUGUGAAGAAGGCCUUCGGGUUGGAAAGCACUUUUGUCCGGAAAGAAAUCCUUGGCCCUAAUACGGUCGGGGGAUGACGGUACCGGAAGAAUAAGCACCGGCUAACUACGUG
rnacentral:rRNA from 1 species